AGAGCGAACGCUGGCGGCAGGCCUAACACAUGCAAGUCGAACGGACCCUUCGGGGUUAGUGGCGGACGGGUGAGUAACACGUGGGAACGUGCCUUUAGGUUCGGAAUAGCUCCUGGAAACGGGUGGUAAUGCCGAAUGUGCCCUUCGGGGGAAAGAUUUAUCGCCUUUAGAGCGGCCCGCGUCUGAUUAGCUUGUUGGUGAGGUAAUGGCUCACCAAGGCUACGAUCAGUAGCUGGUCUGAGAGGAUGACCAGCCACAUUGGGACUGAGACACGGCCAAACUCCUACGGGAGGCAGCA
rnacentral:rRNA from 1 species